GAGAGAGAGAGACAGAGCAUGAGCAUGAGCAGGGGAGGGACAGAGAGAGAGGGAGACACAGAAUCUGAAGCAGGCUCCAGGCUCCGAGCUGUCAGCACAGAGCCCGACUCGGGGCUCGAACUCACAUGCCAUGAGAUCAUGACCUGAGCUGAAGCUGGACACUGAACCGACUGAGCCAUCCAGGCGCCCCUGGUUGGUAAGUUGUUUAAAGUUUUUAUCACCUACUCAUGUGAUCAAGGUUUGCUGUUUUGUUUUUUUUUUUAACUGAUGGUUACUAGCUAUAAUAGGAGAAAACUUAUAAAAGCUUGAGUAGGAAUUGUAUGUAGCAUACACACCCUGUCAAAACAAAAAUGUUCCCAAGUGUUUAAAAGCCGUCAUUUGCCCGACUUUGAGGUUUCAACAAUAUCAAAAUUAUGAACUUCUGUUUACUCAAACACUGCACAAAGGUAGCUUUGUGGUCCAUUCGCUGAAUAAUAUAGAAAGAUUUUCUGGAAAAUGUUUCUUGAGAGAGCCUGCGCCUUUGAAGUGAAACUAAGGGCCACUAAGCCUAAUCCACGUAGAUGGCUGUUGCAUAGCCGACGAUCAUUCCGGAAGCAUCCCGUUUCUGAGUGCGAGGCAAAGACUGGCAGUGGCUUCCGGGCACAGUGAGCUCAGUAGCGUUGCGUUUGGCCCCGGAGGUCAGGAAUGAUGGUGGUCAUGGGAGAAAGAGGUAAGAGGGAUGUGGGACAUUCUCAAUUCUGGAAAUGAGAUAAAAAAAAAAAAAAACAACGUUAAAUGAUACGCUAUUUAAAAAAAUCCAAAAAGUGGGUGAAGAGGUGAGUCACAGGCUAAAAAAUAUUUGCGACAUAAAAUCAAUAAAAGGCUAGCGUCCAGAAUGAACAAAGUAUGUUGAAAAAUCAAUAAGGAUUAACCAUCAAUAGAAAAAUAGAGGAAAAGACUUGAACAGGUGCUUCAUGAGAGAAGAUCUGAGUAGCCAGUAAGCAUGGUGAAAAUGCUUCAUUAAUCACAGAAAUGCACAAUAAUGUCAAAAUGAUUACACAUCCACUAAACUGGAUUUAAUUUGAAUUUAAAGGUCUUGGGAAUACUACGGUGGUGAGUACGUGAAGUUAAGGACCCGGUAAAAUUGGCCUCUGAUACGCUUAAGCAAAUUCAAACUCGACGAGAGCUGGCCCAGUUGCAAGCAACCGCCCAGUUGCAGACCUCCCA
rnacentral:lncRNA from 1 species